rnacentral:rRNA from 2 species
UGUUUGAUGUUCUAACGUGGACCCGUGAUCCGGGUUGCGGACAGUGUCUGGUGGGUAGUUUGACUGGGGCGGUCUCCUCCUAAAGAGUAACGGAGGAGCACGAAGGUUGGCUAAUCCUGGUCGGACAUCAGGAGGUUAGUGCAAUGGCAUAAGCCAGCUUGACUGCGAGCGUGACGGCGCGAGCAGGUGCGAAAGCAGGUCAUAGUGAUCCGGUGGUUCUGAAUGGAAGGGCCAUCGCUCAACGGAUAAAAGGUACUCCGGGGAUAACAGGCUGAUACCGCCCAAGAGUUCAUAUCGACGGCGGUGUUUGGCACCUCGAUGUCGGCUCAUCACAUCCUGGGGCUGAAGUAGGUCCCAAGGGUAUGGCUGUUCGCCAUUUAAAGUGGUACGCGAGCUGGGUUUAGAACGUCGUGAGACAGUUCGGUCCCUAUCUGCCGUGGGCGCUGGAGAACUGAGGGGGGCUGCUCCUAGUACGAGAGGACCGGAGUGGACGCAUCACUGGUGUUCGGGUUGUCAUGCCAAUGGCACUGCCCGGUAGCUAAAUGCGGAAGAGAUAAGUGCUGAAAGCAUCUAAGCACGAAACUUGCCCCGAGAUGAGUUCUCCCUGAGACUUUAGGUCUCCUGAAGGAACGUUGAAGACGACGACGUUGAU